rnacentral:rRNA from 1 species
UACGGAGGGAGCUAGCGUUAUUCGGAAUUACUGGGCGUAAAGCGCACGUAGGCGGCUUUGUAAGUAAGAGGUGAAAGCCCAGAGCUCAACUCUGGAAUUGCCUUUUAGACUGCAUCGCUUGAAUCAUGGAGAGGUCAGUGGAAUUCCGAGUGUAGAGGUGAAAUUCGUAGAUAUUCGCAAGAACACCAGUGGCGAAGGCGGCUCACUGGCCCGAUACUGACGCUGAGGUGCGAAAGCGUGGGGAGCAAACAGG